rnacentral:tRNA from 1 species
GGGGGUAUAGUUCAGCCCGGGAGAACACACCGCUGAAGCCGGUGACGUCGCCGGUUCAAAUCCGGCUACCCCCA